CCCUUAGAUGUUCUGGGCCGCACGCGUGCUACACUGAGUAAUUCAAUGGGUAAGGGAACGCUAGAGCAUUACCUAAUCUUGAAAUUUGCUCGUGAUGGGGAUCGACGGUUGCAAUUUUCCGUCGUGAACGAGGAAUACCUUGUAGGCGCAUGUCAUCAUCAUGCGCCGAAUACGUCCCUGCCCUUUGUACACACCGCCCGCCGCUCCUACCGAUUGAGUGAUCCGGUGAGGCUCUGGGACCUGGACGGAAAGAGCGUUUCGCUUGUUCUGUUUGGGAAACUUGGUCGAACCUUAUCAUUUAGAGGAAGGAGAAGUCGUAACA
rnacentral:rRNA from 1 species